rnacentral:rRNA from 1 species
GAUGAACGCUGGCGGCGUGCUUAACACAUGCAAGUCGGAGCGAAGCAGUGUUGCGGAAUCUUCGGACGAAGGAACACUGACUGAGCGGCGGACGGGUGAGUAACGCGUGGGUGACCUGCCCCAUACCGGGGGAUAACAGCUGGAAACGGCUGCUAAAUACCGCAUAAGCGCACGGAGCUGCAUGGUUCUGUGUGAAAAAACUCCGGUGGUAUGGGAUGGGGCCCGCGUCUGAUUAGGCAGUUGGCGGGGUAACGGCCCACCAAACCGACGAUCAGUAGCCGACCUGAGAGGGCGACCGGCCACAUUGGGACUGAGACACGGCCCAAACUCC